rnacentral:rRNA from 1 species
UUUCUGCCACCGAAUACAUUAGCAUGGGAUAAUGGAAUAGGACCCUGUCCUCCUAUUUUCAGUUGGUUUUGGCAGCGCGAGGACUAGGGUAAUGAUUAAUAGGGAUAGUUGGGGGCAUUAAUAUUUAAUUGUCAGAGGUGAAAUUCUUGGAUUUAUGAAAGAUUAACUUCUGCGAAAGCAUCUGCCAAGGAUGUUUUCAUUAAUCAAGAACGAAAGUUAGGGGAUCGAAGACGAUCAGAUACCGUCGUAGUCUUAACCAUAAACGAUGCCGACCAGCGAUUAGGAGACGUUGAAUACAAAACACCACCAUCGGUGCGGUCGUCCUUGGCGUCGGUCUUUCGGGGCCGGCGCGGGGACGGCUUAGCCCGGUGGCACCGGUGAAUGACUCCCUAG